UCCCUGGUGGUUCAGGGGUUAGGACUCAGCACUUUUACUGCCAUGGCCUGAGUUCAAUCCCUGGUCAGGGAA
rfam:TPA: Bos taurus chromosome 11, whole genome shotgun sequence.